CAUAGGCAACAAAGAGGAACCGUAUGAAUUCUUUUGAGAUGGAAGUCUAAACAACCUAUGAUCUCGCUAAUCUCUAUUUCUAGUGGAGCAGUUCGUACAUCGUUUCGUUCGUUCGCAGCCCCCUCCUCCCAUCAAUCGAAAGCAUCUCGCACCUUUUUUUUUGAGCUCACACCGGUUUUUCCUGAUUUGUUUCUCUUCUCUCCCUUCCAGAUCGAUCACCUUCCGUUCUUAAAAAAGGAUCUCCUUCCCGAUUCGUCCCAAAAACAAAUCCUUCCGAUUCUGAUUUUUCCUUCCAUUCUUUCCAAACCAGUGCCCACCCGAUCUAAAUCUAGACAAGGGCUGCCUCCCUCCCGUCCAACCCAUCCCGUUAGUUCUACAAGCCAUGGAAGAGAGAGGGGGAAAAGGACAUGCCGAUGUACUACCGCGCACCAGGCCGCUGCUGCUGAUCGCGUGUUGGUUCUCCUCCGUCCACCCCCACCUCCAACUCUAUCUACGGCCGUCGCGACAAUGUAGAUGCCCAGUCCACCGCCCUAGCAAACUGUGGGCCUACGGUGGUGCUCACCCAUGGCGAUGUCGCCUUGCCCUUGAGGCCACCGCCAUGGACGACAGCGACGCGCGUCAUCAUCCGUUUCUGUGAGCCCGCCACCACCGUGGUCGUGAUGGUCGCGCCCCAGUCGCGAUCCCCUGGUGGCUCUCUCUUCAUGCAUUCAAUGGGUCAAUGAGUUCAUCACUGACAUCGAGGAACAUGAGCUUCUUGCAGCUGUGGACGGGAUGUUGUUGGCUAAUGCGGCUGCAGCCGCUUUCUCACACUGUUGACUUGUGCCACUUCCGCUCAUGGAAUUGAUCCAGGCACGUUGGACCAAUUCUGGAAGGUGCAACAUGAAGAAGUUCAGGGAGUUGUCGGAGUUUCAAUAUGGUUUUCAAUAUGGUUCAGGAUUGAUACAUCAAAUAUGAAGUACAGUCUGCCUUUUAUAUAUGUUGUUAUAUGUGUUGUUAUUUUUAAGUUCUCCUGCACACAUUACCCUAUUGUGGAUAUCUUCAUUACUGCCUGUUGCAGAGCUGUAGGACAUACUACCCCUGUUGGUAAUUAACACCACGCAUUUCAUGUUCACAUUAGCUUUGUUGACAAGAAAAAAUUACAUGCUUUGGGGCUGAACAUAGGUUAUAUGAUAUCAAGGUGAAGGAUAAUAAAUCACCUUUGGACUAUCUACAUAUACCAGCGACACCUGCUUCUCUAAUUGGAAAAUUUUGACUUUUUAUUUAUCAGUCAGACCAUACAUGCUUUUGCAGAUUAGUUUUUCCUUGACCAUACAUGCUUAUCUGAGAAAUGACUCUUAUCUAAACUGAGACACAUUUUUAUGCAGAAAUUUAGAUCAUAUGGAAAGUUUAUUUGCACUAAAUACAAAUUAGAACAUACAUAGACAUUUAUUUUCUUUCUGCAGAAUGGUUAGUGUAAUGAUUCUGUAUCCAGCCAUUUUAUCUCAUGUGUUGAUGUGGUUGCAGCUGAACUUGAAAUUAUCCUACAAUGUAUUGACUGCUCGGAGCUAACUUGACUACGCCAGAUUUCUUGUAUGGCUCAAAGUAGAUAGUGUCCCCCCUUAUUAUCAGAGAGGUACUACUUCAAACAUCCCUUCUUAAUGUUUUAUGUCAUGGUAUACAGUAUGAUGGAGUGUUAGUUGGCUUGACUUUUGUGGCACUCAUUGAUAACUUUUUCGUUUAGGAGUUUUUGUGGCAUCCUGAUCCAUGAGAGUAUGCUCAUGUUGAAGAAGUUAUAGUCAUAAUGAGGGGCGCGAUAAAUAUUUGUUAUCUGGCACGCAUUCUAAUGAACAUCACAUGUGGACCAUUUACAGUUUUUGUUAUUGGAACUCCAUUGCACUACUCAUACAGUAAAAUAUGAGUGCCAUGUCGGAAUAUGGUUCUCGAGCUGAAAGGUCAUAUUCGAAAUUGCAGGUUCUAUGACAGUGGAUGGAUGUUCGUAAAUUAGUAUUGCUUUUGAGUUUGGAGCUGGAAUAAUAUAUGUGCUGCAUUUAGUUAUAUAUAUGAACACCCAUUGUAUAUUUCUUGCAAGACAUGAUAACUACUAUUAUUUGGAUUGUUCCCAUGAACUGGUUUGACCUCGAUUAAGAAGUACAAAGUUUGUAGCCUUGUAGGUUGUUUGAUCUACUAUAUCAAGUGGCACUUGGGUUCUCUUGGCUCUCCCAGCAUUUGCCAAAACAAAGUUAGUACACACUAGCUAGAGCUAUGGAGAUUAGAACUGAAAAAAUUGUCCCGCGGUUUAUUAACAGCUAUAAAUCAUGCACAAUCCUCCACAUUAAAAAAUUAACCGGAUACAAAAUAGUAUACUUUUCCCAAGUACUACCUCGAGAGGGGCAGGGGGUUCCUGCAUUUUAUAAAGAACAAUAUAGUUGCCCGGUUAAUUAGGGGAAACCAGGCGAAAACCAGAUACAAAGGGCACAAAGUCCCCCACCGGCCGCGGCGGUACUACUGUUUUUGUGAUCACAUGAGCUAGAUUAUUAACAUUGAUGUAAUGCUUGCAUGGCAACCUAUUCCUUUAUCAGUUCAAUUACAGAGUUUGUUAUUAUGUGAAUGGAGUAAUGGAGAUAAGAAAAAACAAGGUAACAGUUAGUGAGACUCUUCCCGGCAGUUUCAAUCAUAUUUUGUUUGCUUCCCCUUUUCUCCUGCCUAGGUAUGUACAGUUAUUCCAACCCAGGUUUCUUUCGAGAAGGAUUCGGGUAUGUGUUCGAGGAAUGUCUAAUGAUAAAACACACCUUCAAGUGUGGUGAUAGUUAUGCUAUCAAACUUUUAAUGGAGACCUUAAUUUGUAUUUUUGAUAGAGCACUCGGUUCACUUGUGAGAUUUGUGAGGAUGUGCCUAGGCUAAAAAUGGCUGCCAUGUCGGUUCCAAGUGACAUAUGUUUAAAUGGAGUGUCCUUGUCAGGAGAGUUGAUUGCUGAAAUAUGGUACUUUAUGGUUGCAAGGAUUCACCAUGUUGCAGCCUUCGUCAGGGGAGUGGACUCCCAGGAAUUAAUCAAGGCCGCCAUGCUGUUUUAGGUUGAGUUUCUAUCAUAGUUUUUGUUUGCAUCUAAUUGUUUGCCAUGCAGUUCUCGCUGUUGGUGGGAACAUUUGUUGUCUCAGAUCGACCUCAAAUAUCAGGUGGCACUAUAUCAUGGCUUUUGAUAUUCUAAUGUAUUUAAAUUUACUUUUGGUUUAUUUGUGAACUUGCUAAUUGUCUUCUUAAAACUCAAUGGAUCUGUGUAUGAAAGUGUGAUCGGGCAGAAACAUGAAUGCACUAGGAAUCAAAUAGUGGUAUGUACUUCAUGUGUGCAUUGAGAUGAACUAAUUCUUUAGACGCAACAAGAAGUUGUAAAACAGAGGUUGAUGUUUUAAAGUUAUAUCCAAUUGCUCAGUAAGAAAUACGAUAGAUCAGCAGUAGGUUGCUUGAAGUGUCAUUUUGUUUUGGUACAAAAGUUUAUGCCGAGUUACCAUCAAUGUGGGAUGUCCACUUGUACCAUCAAAAAUUAUGUGGACACAUGUGGUCCUUCCACUUAUAUUAUGCGGCGGAUGUGAAUUGGGGUUGGGAUUAGUCUCUUGAGUUACUGUAGCCGAAUAAUUUUUCUACUUUAGAAAAUGUGACAAAUUGUGUUUCAUUAGAGACGACUUUGUAGCAAAUUGCAUGAGGGAGCCGUUCAUAUUAUUUCAUCAAGUCGUACAAUUUUUUGGUUAGGAUAGGAAAGUAAAUACAUUGGUUGGUUGCUUCAAGACUUAAUAACGUAUCAGUUGCAUGCCCAACAAUAGACAUCAUAUUUUUUUGUUUCAUCCUAAUGCACAACAUUUCAACUUUAUGUUACAAUGUGGUAACGGAUCAGGAGACAUCGGAUCUGCUUUCUUGGCUCAGGGGCCGUCAGGGGCGACACACACCUUCUCCCCCUUGAUGCCAGUGGCAGAUCGGCAUGUACACUGGGGUGAAGGAGAGAGAGAGAGCUCCAUGGAGAAGGUGAGGUGAACGUCAUCCAAUUUGAAAGGAGAGUGGUCCAGUAAGAAAUGCGCCGCUAUGGCCGGAAAAUGAGCGGGAAGGGGAGGGUCCAACAAGAAAACAUAAGGGUGUGCCAUGGGGUGGGGUUUUUGUGUUGUGUCUGGUUGUUGGAGAUAACAUGACAGAUAGUCCAGACAACCACAUUUCUCUCACAUAUAUGGUCUGGAUUUCAGGGAGGCCGGACUGUCCUAACAGUUGAAUUUUGAGGAGCCCAUUGGACGUCUCUUUGAUGUUCAAACAUGCCUGGU